rnacentral:rRNA from 1 species
UACGUAGGGGGCAAGCGUUGCCCGGAAUCAUUGGGCGUAAAGAGCGUGUAGGCGGCUCGGUAAGUCCGCUCUGAAAGCCCGGGGCUCAACCCCGGGAGGCGGGCGGAUACUGUCGGGCUAGAGUCCGGAAGAGGCGAGUGGAAUUCCUGGUGUAGCGGUGAAAUGCGCAGAUAUCAGGAGGAACACCAAUGGCGAAGGCAGCUCGCUGGGACGGUACUGACGCUGAGACGCGAAAGCGUGGGGAGCAAACAGG